CGGACGGGUGAGUAACACGUGGGUAACCUACCUAUAAGACUGGGACAACUUCGGGAAACCGGAGCUAANACCGGAUAAGAUAUCGAACCGCAUGGUUCGAUAGUGAAAGAUGGUUUUGCUAUCACUUAUAGAUGGACCCGCGCCGUAUUAGCUAGUUGGUGAGGUAACGGCUCACCAAGGCAACGAUACGUAGCCGACCUGAGAGGGUGAUCGGCCACACUGGAACUGAGACACGGUCCAGACUCCUACGGGAGGCAGCAGCA
rnacentral:rRNA from 1 species